CAUCAUUGAUGAUGUUAUGUUACGGGUACAAAAUAAUGUUAUAAAUUCUUUAUAAAUAAUACAGUAUAAAAUAUAAUAGUUUUCCAAAAUAAAAUCAAGUAGCUACUAUUCCAUUUACAGAUCCCACCAACUCUCUCCUAACAUCCCCAAAACACUAAACCCAAUUCCCCCUCCCCAGCUCUUAAAUACUAAACUCUAAACCCGAAUCACUAAACCCAAACC
rnacentral:lncRNA from 1 species